rnacentral:rRNA from 1 species
AAUAUUGGACAAUGUGGGCAAUCCUGAUCCAGCCAUGCCUCGUGUGUGAAGAAGGUCUUCGGAUUGUAAAGCACUUUAAGUUGGGAGGAAGGGUUGUAGGUUAAUACUCUGCAAUUUUGACGUUACCAACAGAAUAAGCACCGGCUAACUCCGUGCCAGCAGCCGCGGUAAUACGAAGGGUGCAAUCGUUAAUCGGAAUUACUGGGCGUAACGCGGGCGUAGGUGGUUUGAUCAGUUGGAUGUGAAAGCCCCGGGCUUAACCUGGGAAUUGCUUUCAAAACUGACGAGCUAGAGUACGGUAGAGGGUAGUAGAAUUUCCUGUGUAGCGGUGAAAUGCGUAGAUAUAGGAAGGAACACCAGUGGCGAAGGCGACCACCUGGGCUAAUACUGACACUGAGGUGCGAAAGCGUGGGGAGCAAACAGG